rnacentral:rRNA from 1 species
CGGCCCAGACUCCUACGGGAGGCAGCAGUAGGGAAUCUUCGGCAAUGGACGAAAGUCUGACCGAGCAACGCCGCGUGAGUGAAGAAGGUUUUCGGAUCGUAAAACUCUGUUGUUAGAGAAGAACAAGGAUGAGAGUAAAACGUUCAUCCCUUGACGGUAUCUAACCAGAAAGCCACGGCUAACUACGUGCCAGCAGCCGCGGUAAUACGUAGGUGGCAAGCGUUGUCCGGAUUUAUUGGGCGUAAAGCGAGCGCAGGCGGUUUCUUAAGUCUGAUGUGAAAGCCCCCGGCUCAACCGGGGAGGGUCAUUGGAAACUGGGAGACUUGAGUGCAGAAGAGGAGAGUGGAAUUCCAUGUGUAGCGGUGAAAUGCGUAGAUAUAUGGAGGAACACCAGUGGCGAAGGCGGCUCUCUGGUCUGUAACUGACGCUGAGGCUCGAAAGCGUGGGGAGCGAACAGGAUUAGAUACCCUGGUAGUCCACGCCGUAAACGAUGAGUGCUAAGUGUUGGAGGGUUUCCGCCCUUCAGUGCUGCAGCAAACGCAUUAAGCACUCCGCCUGGGGAGUACGACCGCAAGGUUGAAACUCAAAGGAAUUGACGGGGGCCCGCACAAGCGGUGGAGCAUGUGGUUUAAUUCGAAGCAACGCGAAGAACCUUACCAGGUCUUGACAUCCUUUGACCACUCUAGAGAUAGAGCUUCCCCUUCGGGGGCAAAGUGACAGGUGGUGCAUGGUUGUCGUCAGCUCGUGUCGUGAGAUGUUGGGUUAAGUCCCGCAACGAGCGCAACCCUUAUUGUUAGUUGCCAUCAUUUAGUUGGGCACUCUAGCGAGACUGCCGGUGACAAACCGGAGGAAGGUGGGGAUGACGUCAAAUCAUCAUGCCCCUUAUGACCUGGGCUACACACGUGCUACAAUGGGAAGUACAACGAGUUGCGAAGUCGCGAGGCUAAGCUAAUCUCUUAAAGCUUCUCUCAGUUCGGAUUGUAGGCUGCAACUCGCCUACAUGAAGCCGGAAUCGCUAGUAAUCGCGGAUCAGC